AUGUGCUUGAGAAUGCUGUUGGGAACAUCCUUGACAAUGUGCCACUUGACAGAGAAUGAAUUUCACUUGUCUUGUUGCCAGUACUCUACAGUUUUUUCAAAAUCAACAGGACCAGUCAUUUCAGCAACACCAACAAACUGUCCACUUGUAUUCACUGAGAAAAACAAGAAUAUAGGGCAGCUAGAGCCCUUUGCCUGA
rnacentral:rRNA from 1 species